rnacentral:tRNA from 1 species
CUGGCGGCUCGUCGGCGGUGGCCGCCACGUUCGCCUCGGAGGCGAACCUACCGCCGCGACGACGGAUCGGCACCGCUUCGCGGGCC